rnacentral:rRNA from 1 species
UACGAAGGGGGCUAGCGUUGUUCGGAAUUACUGGGCGUAAAGCGCGCGUAGACGGUUUUGUAAGUCAGAUGUGAAAUCCCUGGGCUCAACCUGGGAACUGCAUUUGAGACUGCAUGGCUAGAGUAUCGAAGAGGGAAGUGGAAUUUCCGGUGUAGCGGUGAAAUGCGUAGAUAUCGGAAGGAACACCAGUGGCGAAAGCGACUUCCUGGUCGAAUACUGACGUUCAUGUGCGAAAGCGUGGGGAGCAAACAGG